UCUGUCCUUGUACUCUGUCCUGGUAGGU
rnacentral:piRNA from 1 species